rnacentral:lncRNA from 1 species
AUGCCCUUUCUAGCAGCCGCCUCCCCCAGUGGCCUUAGGCACCCAUGUCCCAAGCCCUGUGCAGGAGGGAAAAGCUGCCCUCGCCCACCCAGCCCUUCACACGUGGCUGCAGCCGCAGAGCAACCCCCGGGGCUCCGGCGAGGAGGGCGAGCAGCACGAGUGUGCCUGCAGCGUCUCGGAGCCUCCCCUGCAAACGUUCCCAGGUCCCAGGUGCCUUCUGCCAGUCGUCUUCUUCCCCAAACAAACAAGAAAAGCCACGCACGAAACACAUCGCCCCAGAAAAUUAAGGUGGAGAUCUCACGGGCUCUGCCUCCCGCUCUCAGCACCACCACUACAUCACAAGGGCUGCACCAGAAGGGGUUUGGCAGCAGGGCUGAAGCCAGGAGCUUACUGGCAGGCAAAAAGGAUGCAGAGAAGAAGAAAUCCAGGGGGAAAACGCAGAGGACACCCUGCAAUAACCGUUACUCUUCCCUGGCUAGUGUCACUUUGAAGCCUGCCAUGUGCCACGACGGGAAGCGGGUGUUGCAACGCUCCCUGCACCCGUGGCACUGCAGCAACCAGCCCGGGGUUAUUUUUAAACCAUGGGGAGGGUGCAGAGGGGAAGAAAGGCAGCAAAAUAGAGGAAUUAGCCAGUCCAAGAAAAGGCUUGGGGGGGGGGGGGCAUGGAUGAAAACCAAGCCCGGGCUGGGUGGGGUGACAGCUGCCCCGUGGCACCAGGCCAGCACCGGCACCAAAAGGGCAUCGGGGAGGACGGCGGCGCGGAGCCGCGGCAGCGCCCGCGCUGCAGGAGGGGGAGAAGAAGCCUGCAGAAAGCCCUUGCAAAAGAAAAGCCUUUCCUCCUCGUCCCUGCAAGGCUGCCUCUCCAUGCUGCAGUGCUCGUGGAGGGCUUCCAGAUUCGUUACCUGUCCUCUCCGCAGCGCGGCCGCUGCCCGGAGAGGUUUUGGGCACGGGCUGGGGGGCACCAAAGCGGCCACAGCACUAAAAGCCAGCUCGUGCUUAACACCAAAUCAACCAGAGGGGAUGCAAAGACGUUUUCCUGCGAAGGAAACGGCGUUCCACGUUAUCGAGAGCCGGCUCUUUGGCACGGGCUUACGCGACGCUUUCUGCGCGGCCGCGGGGUUUGCGCACAGGUCCGGCGAGUCCUUUGGCAUCCAGGCUCUUAUUUAG